GAUGAAGAACGUAGCUAAAUGCGAUAAGUAAUGUGAAUUGCAGAAUUCAGUGAAUCAUCGAAUCUUUGAACGCAACUUGCGCCCUCUGGUAUUCCGGAGGGCAUGCCUGUUUGAGUGUCAUGUAGACUCAAUCCCUCGGGUUUCUGAGGAGGUUGGAUUUGGGUGCUUGCCUUCUGGCUCGCCUUAAAGGACUUAGCAGGAUAGCACUGUAGUCGACGUAAUAAGUCUCGUCGGUGAAAGUGUGAUGUCUGCUUACAGAUUGCCCUUGGGCACUUUUGACUCUGACCUCAAAUCAGGUAGGACUACCCGCUGAACUUAAGCAUAUCAAUAAGCGGAGGA
rnacentral:misc_RNA from 1 species